rnacentral:rRNA from 1 species
GCCAUGCGAGUCAUUGCAGCAAUACAAGGCAGACGGCUCAGUAACGCGUAGUCAACCUAACCUAUGGACGGGAAUAACCUCGGGAAACUGAGAAUAAUGCCCGAUAGAACACUAUACCUGGAAUGGUUUGUGUUCCAAAUGAUUUAUCGCCGUAGGAUGGGACUGCGGCCUAUCAGUUUGUUGGUGAGGUAAUGGCCCACCAAGACUAUUACAGGUACGGGCUCUGAGAGGAGUAGCCCGGAGAUGGGUACUGGGACACGGACCCAGGCCCUAUGGGGCGCAGCAGGCGAGAAAACUUUGCAAUGUGCGAAAGCACGACAAGGUUAAUCCGAGUGAUUUGUGCUAAACGAAUCUUUUGUUAGUUCUAGAAAUACUAACGAAUAAGGGGUGGGCAAGUUCUGGUGUCAGCCGCCGCGGUAAAACCAGCACCUCAAGUGGUCAGGAUGAUUAUUGGGCCUAAAGCAUCCGUAGCCGGAUCUGUAAGUUUUCGGUUAAAUCUGUACGCUUAACGUACAGGCUGCCGGGAAUACUGCAGAUCUAGGGAGUGGGAGAGGUAGACGGUACUCGGUAGGAAGGGGUAAAAUCCUUUGAUCUAUUGAUGACCCCCUGGGGCGAAGGGGGUCUACCAGAACACGUCCGACGGUGAGGGAUGAAAGCUGGGGGAGCAAACCGGAUUAAAUACCCGGGUAGUCCCAGCUGUAAACUAUGCAAACUCAGUGAUGCAUUGACUUGUGGUCAAUGCAGUGCUGCAGGGGAGCCGUUAAGUUUGCCGCCUGGGAAGUACGUACGCAAGUAUGAAACUUAAAGGAAUUGGCGGGGGAGCACCACAAGGGGUGAAGCCUGCGGUUCAAUUGGAGUCAACGC